CAGCAGCCACGGGAAUACGGAGGGGGCUAGCGUUGUUCGGAAUUACUGGGCGUAAAGCGCACGUAGGCGGUUUUGUAAGUCAGAGGUGAAAGCCCGGAGCUCAACUCCGGAACUGCCUUUGAGACUGCAUCACUUGAACGUCGGAGAGGUGAGUGGAAUUCCGAGUGUAGAGGUGAAAUUCGUAGAUAUUCGGAAGAACACCAGUGGCGAAGGCGGCUCACUGGACGACUGUUGACGCUGAGGUGCGAAAGCGUGGGGAGCAAACAGGAUUAGAUACCCCCGUAGUCCCUGUCUCUUAUAC
rnacentral:rRNA from 1 species